CAGCCGCCGCGGUAAUGCGAAGGGUGCAAGCGUUACUCGGAAUUACUGGGCGUAAAGCGUGCGUAGGCGGUUUGUUAAGUCUGCUGUGAAAUCCCCGGGCUCAACCUGGGAAUGGCAGUGGAUACUGGCAAGCUAGAGUGUGUCAGAGGAUGGUGGAAUUCCCGGUGUAGCGGUGAAAUGCGUAGAGAUCGGGAGGAACAUCAGUGGCGAAGGCGGCCAUCUGGGACAACACUGACGCUGAGGCACGAAAGCGUGGGGAGCAAACAGGAUUAGAUACCCCGGUAGUCCCUGUCUCUUAUAC
rnacentral:rRNA from 1 species